CCUCGGCUCCGCCUUUGAUCUGGGCCCUGAGUUUGUCCUCCCUACCGCUUUCAUGUGCAGCAUUGCAGAAGGAGAGAGACGCGAGCUUGCCUACUCCGCUGACGUGCUGAGUGGUCCGGUGAGCGACACCAGAACAUAACGACAUCCGGAUUUUAAUUUGGACCCACAGGCUGGUGUGUAGCAGGUACUAACUACAUGCCUACAAUGGUCUGGGUGAUUCAAAACACCAUCUCAUUUGUCAUUUCUGUGCAGCUCCUACAUUCAACUCUGAUUCCUGUAUGGGCUGAAGAGGAGAGCAGGGAAUGCAGAGAGCAGGAAUACAAGGACUCAUUUGGGAAUUGUAAACCCUGCAAGCAAUGCGAUGCAGGACAGGAGCUAUCAAAGGAAUGUGGCUUUGGUUAUGGAGAGGAUGCCCAAUGUGUGGCGUGCAGGACCAGCCGCUUCAAAGAAGACCGGAGUCUACAGAAGUGUAAGCCUUGUCUGGACUGUGGACUUAUCAACCGAUUCCAGAAGAACAACUGUUCUACCACCAGCAAUGCUGUGUGUGGCGAGUGCCUUUCUGGAUACUACAGGAAGACGAAACUAAGUGGCUUCCAAGACAUGGAGUGUAUACCCUGUGGAGACCCUCCGCCUCAGUAUGAGCCUCAAUGCAGCGGGAGGGUAAACCUGGUGCCUCUGACCCCGGUGACCAGUCCACGUGACAUGGCCCUGGCUGCUGUCAUCUGCAGCGCUCUGGCUACAGUGGUGCUAGCCCUGCUUGUACUGUGUGUCAUCUAUUGCAAGAGGCAACUGCUGGAGAAAAAACCCAGUGCGGCAUCUUUGAGGUCUGAGGACUGUCGGUAUGGCUGGGAUGAGCUGUCCUGCCUGGACCAGCGUUGGCUCCAAGAGUUUCCUCAGGGGGCCUGCUGCCAGUGUCAUCUUGGUCCCGGACACGCAUGUGGUCCAGUUCUGAUGAUCCCAUCAAUGUGCUGUGAGGAGCAUUGCAGCCUGAAUAAUUCACGCUCCUGCUUUUACACUGGCCUCCAUGACAGAAACUGUGAGCAGGAGGAAGAAGUAACCGCCCACUCUGAGAGUGGAUCCACAGAGAAGAUUUCAGAGGGUUUCCACGAUACAGAAAAUGAUGAGGGAGUGUGUGGCCUGAGGGAGAACUUCCCUGGGGGAAAGCCAAUCGAGCAGGCGCCGUCAACCAAGGAGGGUUUGUUGGAGGAGGGAGACUCAGAAAACACGACAGGAUAGGUGGCCCAGAGGUCUGGAUUUGGUGAACCCUGAUUUAAAUCUUCAAACAACUGGAUGACACAUAUUGCUUUGGCUUCUAGCAGCCUGGACUCACUAACAACAGCGGCAUCCAGAUCUCCUUUCACACGACUCAUCUGAACUCAACUCCCAGCCCCUCGCUACCAUUUGACAUUCUCCAGUGUGAUCGCAGGCCGCAGCUGACCUCCAAGCCCGAACAAGUACAAUGAAAAGCCGCUAUGUGAAGUGGCCGCCUGUUCAGCUGUUUCAAGUGAAUGAAGUUGAAAGGUGGAGAAAGAUUGAACUUGAUUACGCGACACAUCUGAAUUUUUGCACAAUGAAGACAAUCUUAUGAACACUCGAGGGGAUUGUUUAAGUCACUUGUAGAUAAUGUACAAUAGUAAAUAGCAUAUUUUUGUAACAUACUGUACGACUGAUCAUGUGCUGCCUUUUUAGUGUUCAUGGUCCAUGUAUUUGUUUUACACAUUUU